rnacentral:rRNA from 1 species
GACGUAGGGGCCAGCGUUGUUCGGAAUUACUGGGUGUAAAGGGUUCGUAGGCGGUGUGGCAAGUCGGGAGUGAAAUCGUCUGGCUCAACCCAGAGACUGCUUCCGAAACUGCUGUGCUUGAGUGUGAGAGAGGCUCGUGGAAUUGCAGGUGUAGCGGUGAAAUGCGUAGAUAUCUGCAGGAACACCCGUGGCGAAAGCGGCGAGCUGGAUCACUACUGACGCUGAGGAACGAAAGCUAGGGAGCAAACAGG